rnacentral:sRNA from 12 species
CCUUGACAGUCGUAUAAUGCGGCUGACAUUUGCCAAGACAAGGAGACACACAUG